rnacentral:rRNA from 1 species
GACGCUGACCUUAUUCUGUAUUCUCGAGUAGGUCGGGGCACGAGAAACCCUGAUUGAAUCCGGCUGGACCACCAGCCAAGGCUAAAUAUAGUAUAUGAUCGAUAGUGAACUAGUACGGUGACGGAAAGGUGAAAAGAACCCCGGGAGGGGAGUGAAAUAGAACCUGAAAUUUUGUGCCUACAAGGAGUCGGAGCCCAGCACCUUUGAAAUCGAGUGGUACAAUGUAGGCGGAUGUUCUACGUGUACGUUUUGCAAAGUGAUCGGGAAUCAGAUCAAAUUUACUUCGGUCAGACUAGUGAUUUAAGACGACGUCUCUCGGAGCAUAAUUCUGGCAAGGAUACUUAUACCAAGAUAUAUGCGCCAUGGAAGGUUGUCUAUUAUGAAGCCUAUUCAUCACGUAAGCUAGCAAUGGCUCGUGAGAGGCGGCUGAAAGCUUAUGGACAAGCCAGGACUGCUCUGAAGAAGAGACUAAAUUUGAUCUGAUACUCGAUUUCAAAGGUGCUGGGUGACGGCGUGCUUUUUGUAGAACGAUCCAGCGAGUUAAUUUUUACGGCGAGGUUAAGUCAGAUGAUGAAGCCAUAGUGAAAGCGAGCAUUAACAGUGCGAUUUAGUCGUAAGGAUUAGACCCGAAACCAGGUGACCUAACCAUGAGCAGGUUGAAGCAACCUUAAUCGGUUGUGGAGGACCGAACCAGUGUAUAUUGCAAAAUGCUUGGAUGACUUGUGGUUAGCGGUGAAAUGCCAAUCGAACUUGGAGAUAGCUGGUUCUCCGCGAAAUAGUUAUAGGACUAGCGUCGUGUGAUAGCUUACGGGGGUAGAGCUCUGUCAAGAGAUAGGGGGAGCAAUCCUACCUACUCUUAAUAAACUACGAAUACCGUAUGUCUGUAUCACGGCAGUUAGAACGUCGGUGCUAAGAUCGGCGCUCAAAAGGGAAACAGCCCAGACCAUCAUCUAAGGUCCCCAAAUUUACGCUAAGUGGGAAACAAGGUGGAAUUUCUUAAACAGCUAGGAUGUUGGCUUAGAAGCAGCCAUUCAUUUAAAGAGUGCGUAACAGCUCACUAGUCAAGAGAUUUUGCGUGGAAAAUGUAACGGGGCUAAAGUGUUAAACCGAAGACAUGGACUUCUGCUUUUGCAGGAGUGGUAGAGGAGCGUUGAUAUCGCAGCGAAGUCAGAUUGUAAAGUCUGGUGGAGCGUUAUCAAGUGAGAAUGCUGGAAUCAGUAACCUUAAGGCAGGUGAGAAUCCUGCCGGUCGUAAGAGCAAGGUUUCCAGGGCUACAGUAAUUGUCCCUGGGUUAGUCGGUCCUAAGCCGAGGCGUAUCAGCGUAGGCGAUGGACAACAGGUUAAUAUUCCUGUACAGGUAGUAGUUGUGAACAGUUCACGGUGAAUGACCGGAGCGGAUUAAUGGUUUAUCCGUCCAAGUCUCUAGGGAACUAGAGAUGAGUGAAAGGUAAUCUUCGGAUUAUUAAUUCCGGGUGAAGCACUGGCUAGAAAAGCUGGUUCACUUAUGCUGCUGCCUACCGUACCGCAAACCAACACCGGUGCUCGGGUCGAGUAGACCAAGACCUACGUGAGAACCUUCGCUAAGGAACUCGGCAAAAAAGCGUCCGUAACUUCGGAAUAAGGACUGCCCUCUCAUUAAGAUGAGGAUUUGCUAGAAACUCAGCAGAAGAUUCAGAGUUAUGUUACUUAUUUACUAAUAAUUUAUUUUACUUCGAGACCAUAUGCUCGGCCGAACGGCCAUGAGUGUGUCGAGAAGGAAAUAAAUUUUAGUUAUUUACCUUAAUACUGAAUUUUUUCGUUGAGACAGAACACAAAUCAGGAUUUGUUUUAGCAAAUUCGUGUCUUUUCUAGUAGUCUAAUCGUCAUUUUGAUGAGAGGGCCGCAGCUAAAGAGCCCACGGAACUGUUUACCAAAAACAUAGGUCUCUGCUAACGCGAAAGCGGAUGUAUAGGGGCUGACUCCUGCCCGGUGUCGGAAGGUUAAGGGGAGAGCUUUACGGUUCGAACUGAAGCCCCGAUGAACGGCGGCGAUAACUAUGAUCGUCCUAAGGUAGCGAAAUUCCUUGUCUGGUAAGUUCAGACCCGCACGAAUGGAGUAAUCAUGUGGGCACUGUCUCGGCGAAGGCCACGGUGAACGUGCAUUGGCGGUAAAGAUGCCGUCUGAUCAUGCCAGGACGAGAAGACCCCAUGGAGCUUUACUACAACUUUGCAUUGAUUAUUGGGACAUUUUGUGUAGAAUAGGUGGAAGACUUUGAAGCAGAUACGCUAGUAUUUGUGGAGUCGAAAUGUGAAAUACCACCCUGAAUGUUUUAGUAAUCUCACUUUUGACCUGAUCGGCCAAAAGGACCGUGCAUGGCGGGUAGUUUAACUGGGGCGGUUGCCUCCUAAAGAGUAGCGGAGGCGUUCA